rnacentral:rRNA from 1 species
UACGGAGGGGGCUAGCGUUGUUCGGAAUUACUGGGCGUAAAGCGCACGUAGGCGGCUUUGUAAGUUAGAGGUGAAAGCCCGGGGCUCAACUCCGGAAUUGCUUUUAAGACUGCAUCGCUCGAAUUGUGGAGAGGUAAGUGGAAUUCCGAGUGUAGAGGUGAAAUUCGUAGAUAUUCGGAAGAACACCAGUGGCGAAGGCGACUUACUGGACACAUAUUGACGCUGAGGUGCGAAAGCGUGGGGAGCAAACAGG